rnacentral:rRNA from 1 species
GCGAGUGAAGAGGGACAAGCUCAAAUUUUAAAUCUGUUAGGUUCAUCUAACCGAGUUGUAAUUUGAAGAGGCGUUUUCUGCGUUUUUGAUCAGUCCAAGUCCUUUGGAAUAAGGCAUCAUGGAGGGUGAGAAUCCCGUUCGGUUGAUCAAAUUUGCUUUAUGAUACGUCAUCUAAGAGUCAAGUUGUUUGGGAUUGCAGCUUAAAAUGGGAGGUAAAUUUCUCCUAAGGCUAAAUAACGGCGAGAGACCGAUAGCGAACAAGUACCGUGAGGGAAGGAUGAAAAGAACUUUGAAAAGAGAGUUAAAUAGUACGUGAAAUUGUUGAAAGGGAAACGAUUGAAGUCAGUCGUACCUGCGGGAUAAUCAGCCCUUCGAGUAUGAUUCUGUGGAGUGUAAGGAGUUUAACCGUCUUCAUACCUGCAUAUUCGUGCGCUUUGGGUGUACUUGUCCGUAUGGUAGGUUAACAUCAAUUUUGGUCGUUAUAAAAUGACUAGGGGAAUGUAGCUUUGAUCCCGUAUUGAAGUGUUAUAGUCUCUGGUAAAUGCAGUGACUAGGAUUGAGGAUUGCAACGGAUACCUUUCGGCUACUCGUCUGAUCUCUGGAAGUUACUUUGGUGCUAAAAGCUUGCUUAUGGUUAUCGAAGUUGACGGUCAAUAGGUUAGAACGAGUUAAAUUCGUUAAGGAUGU